rnacentral:ncRNA from 1 species
GGGGACCUUCGGGGCCCUAUACACACAGACAGCCGGGCCCAUACCCGGCGCAGACCAACGGAAGACAGAAA